rnacentral:rRNA from 1 species
GAAAAGAAACUAACAAGGAUUCCCCUAGUAGCGGCGAGCGAAGCGGGAAAAGCCCGGGAUGAAAAUCUCUUCGGAGAAUUGUAGUCUGAGCUCCCUUGGGCGGUCAGUGUGGGUAAAUCGUCUGGGAUGACGUGCCAUGGAGGGUGAGAGCCCCGUCCACCCCACACAGGACCCGCCCGCACGAGGGCGCUUCAACCGAGUCGGGUAGCUUGGGAAUGCUGCUCCAAUUGGUGGUAAAUCUCAUCAAAGGCUAAAUAACGGUGGGAGACCGAUAGCGAACAAGUACCGUGAGGGAAAGAUGGAAAGAACUUUGAAAAGAGAGUGAAAAGCGCUUGAAACCGUCACGGGGGAAGCGGAUUGCGUGAGUGAUGGCGUGCACUGUUCAGCUCAAAAUGUGGAGUGUAUUCUGUGCGCGCCGGGCGUGUGUGGCUGGGGUGUGUGCGAUUUUGGCAUGCGCUCCUGGUGAGGGCUCCCUGAUUGCCAGGUGAGGACACACGCGAAAUGACGCAAUACGACCCGUCUUGAAACACGGACCAAGGAGUCUAGCACGGCUGCGAGUCGAAGGGUGUUAAAACCCAGAGGGCGCAGUGAAAGCGAAAGAAAGCAAAUUGGGGAGGCGUUGCGGUUUUACCAAAAUGUCCUACCUCGAGCACCUGUGCUGGGACCCGAAAGAUGGUGAACUAUGCCGGAGUAGGGCAAAGCCAGAGGAAACUCUGGUGGAGGCUCGUAGCGAUGCUGACGUGCAAAUCGCUCGUCGAACUUGGGUAUAGGGGCGAAAGACUAAUCGAACCAUCUAGUAGCUGGUUCCCUCCGAAGUUUCUCUCAGGAUAGCGGGCCGACGACAUGUUGUUUUGUGCGGUAAAGCGAAUGAUUAGUGCAUUUGGGGGCCGAAGGCCUUCAGGCGAUUCUCAAACUUUAAAUGCGCAAGGGGGCGGCUGCUUAAUUGAGCCUGCUCUUUGAAAAACGUCGGCCCUGUGGGCCACUUUUGGUAAGCAGAACUGGCGAUAAGGGAUGAACCUUAAGCGCGGUUAAGGCGCCGUAUUGCCCGCUUAUAGACCCCACAAAAGGUGUUGAUUCAUCCAGACAGCAGGACGGUGGCCAUGGAAGUCGGAAUCCGCUAAGGAGUGUGUAACAACUCACCUGCCGAAUGAAUUAGCCCUGAAAAUGGAUGGCGCUGAAGCGGGCAGCCGACACCGCGCCGUUCGGGCGAGACGAUGCCCGGAUGAGUAGGAGGGCGUGGCGGUCAGUGACGCAGGCGUGGGUGCAGACCCCGCUGAAACGGCCGCUAGUGCAGAUCUUGGUGGUAGUAGCAAAUAUUCAAGCGAGAUCCUUGAAGGGCGAAGCGGGGAAGGGUUCCACGCGAACAUUGAUUGGGCGUGGGUGAGUC